rnacentral:rRNA from 1 species
GACGAACGCUGGCGGCGUGCUUAACACAUGCAAGUCGAGCGGGGAUUUAAGACGGAAAGCUUCGGCCGGAAGUUUUGAAUUCUAGCGGCGGACGGGUGAGUAACGCGUGAACAAUCUGUCCUACACAGGGGGAUAACACUUGGAAACAGGUGCUAAUACCGCAUAAGACCACGACACCACAUGGUGAUGAGGUAAAAGAUUUAUCGGUGUAGGGUGAGUUCGCGUCCGAUUAGCUAGUUGGUGAGGUAACGGCCCACCAAGGCGACGAUCGGUAGCCGACCUGAGAGGGUGAUCGGCCACAUUGGAACUGAGACACGGUCCAAACUCCUACGGGAGGCAGCAGUGGGGAAUAUUGGGCAAUGGGCGCAAGCCUGACCCAGCAACGCCGCGUGAGGGAAGAAGGUUUUCGGAUUGUAAACCUCUGUCCUCAAGGACGAAGACAAUGACGGUACUUGAGGAGGAAGCCCCGGCUAACUACGUGCCAGCAGCCGCGGUAAAAC